rnacentral:rRNA from 1 species
AGAACGAACGCUGGCGGCGUGCUUAACACAUGCAAGUCCAACGUGAAAGGGGAGCAAUCCCCCGGUAGGGUGGCGAACGGGUGAGUAAUACAUGGGAAUCUGUCCUGGAGAUGGGGGAUACUCCUUACCGAAAGGAGGGUUAAUACCGAAUAUCGUCCGGGUGACGGGAGUCACGUUAGGGGGAAAGGGACGGCCUCUGGCAACAUGCUUCCGCGUCCGGGAGGACGCCCAUCGGCCCAUCAGCUAGUUGGUA